rnacentral:rRNA from 1 species
AAUGGGCGCAAGCCUGAACCAGCCAUGCCGCGUGCAGGAAGACGGCCUUAUGGGUUGUAAACUGCUUUUACAUAAGACUAACCGUAUAUUUGCGAAUAUACCUGAAUGUAUUAUGAGAAUAAGGAUCGGCUAACUCCGUGCCAGCAGCCGCGGUAAUACGGAGGAUCCGAGCGUUAUCCGGAUUUAUUGGGUUUAAAGGGUGCGUAGGCUGACUGAUAAGUCAGCGGUGAAAAGCAUAGGCUUAACCUAUGUCUUGCCGUUGAUACUGUCAGACUAGAAUAUAAAUGGAGUAGGCGGAAUGAAUCAUGUAGAGGUGACAUUCAUAGAUAUGAUUUAGAACACCGUUCGCGAAGGCGGCUUACUAAGAUAUAAUUGACGCUGAUGCACGAAAGCGUGGGUAUCGAA